rnacentral:rRNA from 1 species
GACGAACGCUGGCGGCGUGCUUAACACAUGCAAGUCGAACGGAAAGGCCCUGCUUUUGUGGGGUGCUCGAGUGGCGAACGGGUGAGUAACACGUGAGUAACCUGCCCUUGACUUUGGGAUAACUUCAGGAAACUGGGGCUAAUACCGGAUAGGAGCUCCUGCUGCUUGGUGGGGGUUGGAAAGUUUCGGCGGUUGGGGAUGGACUCGCGGCUUAUCAGCUUGUUGGUGGGGUAGUGGCUUACCAAGGCUUUGACGGGUAGCCGGCCUGAGAGGGUGACCGGCCACAUUGGGACUGAGAUACGGCCCAGACUCCUACGGGAGGCAGCAGUGGGGAAUAUUGCACAAUGGGCGGAAGCCUGAUGCAGCAACGCCGCGUGCGGGAUGACGGCCUUCGGGUUGUAAACCGCUUUCGCCUGUGACGAAGCGUGAGUGACGGUAAUGGGUAAAGAAGCACCGGCUAACUACGUG